rnacentral:rRNA from 1 species
AACGAACGCUGGCGGCAUGCCUAACACAUGCAAGUCGAACGAGACCUUCGGGUCUAGUGGCGCACGGGUGCGUAACGCGUGGGAAUCUGCCCUCAGGUACGGAAUAACUCAGGGAAACUUGAGCUAAUACCGUAUAAUGACUUCGGUCCAAAGAUUUAUCGCCUGGGGAUGAGCCCGCGUCGGAUUAGCUAGUUGGUGAGGUAAAGGCUCACCAAGGCGACGAUCCGUAGCUGGUCUGAGAGGAUGAUCAGCCACACUGGGACUGAGACACGGCCCAGACUCCUACGGGAGGCAGCAGUGGGGAAUAUUGGACAAUGGGCGCAAGCCUGAUCCAGCAAUGCCGCGUGAGUGAUGAAGGCCUUAGGGUUGUAAAGCUCUUUUACCCGGGAAGAUAAUGACUGUACCGGGAGAAUAAGCCCCGGCUAACUCCGUGCCAGCAGCCGCGGUAAUACGGAGGGGGCUAGCGUUGUUCGGAAUUACUGGGCGUAAAGCGCACGUAGGC